GGCGANCCUGAUCCAGCNAUGCCGCGGUGGGUGAAGAAGGCUUUAGGGUUGUAAAGCCCUUUCAGCAGGGAGGAAAUGCGUGUGGUUAAUAACCUCGCGUCUUGACGUUNCCUGCAGAAGAAGCACCGGCUAACUCCGUGCCAGCAGCCGCGGUAAUACGA
rnacentral:rRNA from 1 species